CCUGGGUCCACAAAUUUCAAAGUCUGAGUGCAUAUUUUUGGAAAUACAACAUUUGAAUUUUUCUUAUAUUUUCCCUAGAAAUUAUGUACAAUAACACAGUAAAUUUUUAGUAAAAUGUUCAAGAAAAAGGAACUUCCAACAGCAGCAGAUGACACAGUAAAUCUUUAGUAAAAUGUUCAAGGAAAAGGAACUUCCAACAGCAGCAGAUGACACAGCAAAUCUUUAGUAAAAUGUUCAAGGAACAGCGGCAGAUAACACAAUAAAUCUUUACUCUUUCUAAUGCUAGAUGAUUUUGCAACUUAAUAGGUUAAUGAAUCAGUUGGUUAUUACAACCGAUUUCAACUUAAUUCAUAUUUAACAUUCACUUUAUCCCAUUUACUGGCAGUACUCUACCAUUGAUGAGUAAUUAAUCGUCUGGCAUUAGACACAGUAAAUACUAAGUUGGCACAUUUGGGCAC